CCUACGGGAGGCAGCAGUAGGGAAUUUUCGGCAAUGGGGGGAACCCUGACCGAGCAACGCCGCGUGAAGGAAGAAGGAAUUCGUUCUGUAAACUUCUGUUAUAAAGGAAGAAAGACGGAUGGAGGAAAUGACAUCCGAGUGACGGUACUUUAUGAGAAAGCCACGGCUAACUACGUGCCAGCAGCCGCGGUAAUACGGAGGAUGCGAGCGUUAUCCGGAUUUAUUGGGUUUAAAGGGUGCGCAGGCGGCCUGUUAAGUCAGCGGUAAAAGCCCGGGGCGCAACCCCGGCGAGCCGUUGAAACUGGCGGUCUGGAGUUGGAGAGAAGUACGCGGAAUGCGCGGUGUAGCGGUGAAAUGCUUAGAUAUCGCGCAGAACCCCGAUUGCGAAGGCAGCGUACCGGCUCCACACUGACGCUGAGGCACGAAAGCGUGGGUAUCGAACAGGAUUAGAUACCCCAGUAGUC
rnacentral:rRNA from 1 species